rnacentral:rRNA from 1 species
UACGUAGGGGGCAGGCGUUAUCCGGAUUUACUGGGUGUAAAGGGAGCGUAGGCGGCGAUGCAAGUCAGAAGUGAAAGCCCGGGGCUCAACUCCGGGACUGCUUUUGAAACUGUGUUGCUAGAUUGCAGGAGAGGUAAGUGGAAUCCCUAGUGUAGCGGUGAAAUGCGUAGAUAUUAGGAGGAACACCAGUGGCGAAGGCGGCUUACUGGACUGUAAAUGACGCUGAGGCUCGAAAGCGUGGGGAGCAAGCAGG